rnacentral:sRNA from 1 species
CGUUAAUGAAGGUACAUUAUUCUAGUUGAGAACUUCAUUAUGAAGACGGGAUUAAACUACCGUUAAAGAGCAUAUCGAUGAAGCCCUUGGUGUUUGCUUCUUACGCCCAGUUUGGGGUGAAUGCUGGGGGGAAAUGAGAGGAUAGGGCGACCACAAUGGCAUGUGAUUUCGACCCUUAAUCUCGCGGAGACCUGUUUAUGUGUUUAGCCUAUACGAACAACUUCUGAUGGACUAGAUACGGCUCAGGGAUGAACCUGUAUGUGGCGCAAGUUAUGUGCAGUGUAGCUUGUCUUGAGUGAUAGUUUGGGAUUAACCAUUAAUUUUAUAUUUUUCUUAGCCGGAUAAGAAUUAUAUAAUUGUUAUGAAAUAACUAUUGCAAAAAAGAACUAAUAUUGAAGAACUUUUCGAGGAAAUCUCCUAGAGUGUCAACAUAAUAUAGGAUUGCAGUGGGAACUAAGUGGUAAUCAAGUCAUAUAUAUUUUUAUAUAUUAAUUUCUUUAAAUAGGAAUGGCCAAUUUGGUAACGAAUUGGUAGAAAUUAGGGAAAUCCUACUUGACCUAAGUCUCAAAGUUAACUAUAUUAAAACCUUUAUUAU